rnacentral:rRNA from 1 species
GACGAACGCUGGCGGCGUGCUUAACACAUGCAAGUCGAGCGGUAAGGCCCUUUCGGGGGUACACGAGCGGCGAACGGGUGAGUAACACGUGGGUGACCUGCCUCUAGCUCUGGGGAUAAGCCCGGGAAACUGGGUCUAAUACUGGAUAUGACUCCAUGACGCAUGUUGUGGGGUGGAAAGCCUUGUGCGGCUAGAGAUGGGCCCGCGGCCUAUCAGCUUGUUGGGGGGU